UCCGAGUUAACCCCGGCAGUCUCCCGCGAGUCCCCAACAUCACUUGCUGGCAACACGGGAUAAGGGUUGCGCUCGUUGCGGGACUUAACCCAACAUCUCACGACACGAGCUGACGACAGCCAUGCACCACCUGUCACCCAGUCCGAAGAGGCACCUAUCUCUGAGGGUUUCCGGGUGAUGUCAAACCCAGGUAAGGUGGGGAUGACGUCACACAGAC
rnacentral:misc_RNA from 1 species